AGGACCGGGAUGGACAUACCUCUGGUGUACCAGUUGUCGUGCCAACGGCAUAGCUGGGUAGCUAUGUGUGGACGGGAUAAGUGCUGAAAGCAUCUAAGCAUGAAGCCCCCCUCAAGAUGAGAUUUCCCAACUUCGGUUAUAAGAUCCCUCAAAGAUGAUGAGGUUAAUAGGUUCGAGGUGGAAGCAUGGUGACAUGUGGAGCUGACGAAUACUAAUCGAUCGAAGACUUAAUCAA
rnacentral:rRNA from 1 species